rnacentral:rRNA from 1 species
GUGAGUAACACGUAGGGAACCUGCCCGCGCACCGGGAAUACGCUCUGGAAACGGAGAACAAAUCCCGAUGUACAGGAAGGAGGCAUCUUCUUUCUGUGAAACAUCCUUUAGGGGAUGGGGCGCGGAUGGACCUGCGGUGCAUUAGUUGGUUGGCGGGGUAAAGGCCCACCAAGACGAUGAUGCAUAGCCGGCCUGAGAGGGUGGACGGCCACAUUGGGACUGAGACACGGCCCAGACUCCUGCGGGAGGCAGCAGUAGGGAAUUUUCGUCAAUGGGCGCAAGCCUGAACGAGCGAUGCCGCGUGAGUGAAGAAGGCCUUCGGGUCGUAAAGCUCUGUUGCGGGGGAAAAAAGGCAGCAUCAGGAAAUGGGUGCUGACUGAUGGUGCCCCGCCAGAAAGUCACGGCUAACUACGUGCCAGCAGCCGCGGUAAUACGUAGGUGGCGAGCGUUAUCCGGAAUGAUUGGGCGUAAAGGGUGCGCAGGCGGUCCUGCAAGUCUGGAGUGAAACGCAUGAGCUCAACUCAUGCAUGGCUUUGGAAGCUGGAGGACUGGAGAGCAGGAGAGGGCGGUGGAACUCCAUGUGUAGCGGUAAAAUGCGUAGAUAUAUGGAAGAACACCAGUGGCGAAGGCGGCCGCCUGGCCUGUUGCUGACGCUGAGGCACGAAAGCGUGGGGAGCAAAUAGGAUUAGAUACCCUAGUAGUCCACGCCGUANACGAUGAGGACCAAGUGUUGGGGGUGAAACCUCAGUG